rnacentral:tRNA from 1 species
UGCCGACUUAGCUCAGUUGGUAGAGCAUCUGAUUUGUAAUCAGAGGGUCGGGCGUUCGAAUCGUCUAGUCGGC